CAGAGAAGACGAAGAAGAAGAAGAAGAAGAAGUCU
rnacentral:sRNA from 1 species